CUGAUGUUGCACCACCACCAUAACAGCAAUGUGAAGAAUGAUGUCCUCAGAGUAGUGCAUAUAGGACUUCUAUGUACACAAGAGAUAGCAUCACUUCGACCAACAAUGGCAAAGGCGCUACAGAUGCUAACAGCAGAUGAACAACUCCCUGCACCCACUAAUCCCCCUUUCACAGACGAAAGAACCAUGGAAUUCAAUGACACAUGUGAGGACCCAUGGUAUCCCCUUAAUGCUGGCCUUUCAGCAUCAAUUGCAACUGUCACCCUCAGUUCCUUCCAUUCGAGAUGAACUGGAGCAAAAAAAGUUUUACAAAGGAUAAUCGCAUUUAAAAUGUGAACAUAAAAUCAAAGAUUAUAAACAUCCCCAGUCAGUAUGUAACCUCAUCAAAUCACAUGUUGCAGGCAAUUUCAGGAACCUGAUGAGGUAUUUGAAUAGUUGGCAAUAAAAUGGGAAGCUGAUUACUUGUAGACAUGAGGAUAGUUGCCAAUGUUGAUAUGAUUAUCAUGACAUUAGUAAAAAUACAGCAUCCCCAUAAACUUGCAUUAUCACCGGCCCACAAAUUUUAGGUUUGAAUCGAUGGAUAACAGCUUGUCCAAUGGCAAUAAUAAGGUCCCUAUUUCUUUUUUUUACCGCUAGUGAUUUGCAUUUUUCUUUUCUUCCAACCACGGGAAAGAAUGGAUCAAGAAAGUGGGAAAAUAAAGUUCACUAUAUUAGUGGGCAGGAGAAACAGGACUAUAAUUAAUUCAUUACUCGUGGCCAAAAAUGUUUUACAAAUGCAAAGAACUUACAGUUUGGGACUUCCGAGUUCACAGACAGCAUUCAAAAUACAAAGUUAAAACUCCUAUACUUCCUCACAAGAAAACUAGGAACACAUCCUGGCAAAUCCCAAAAACCAUUCUUUGUCUAACGGGAGGCCACUAGGUUUCCCAUUAGGCCUCC
rnacentral:misc_RNA from 1 species